rnacentral:rRNA from 2 species
GACCUGAGAGGGUGAUCGGCCACACUGGGACUGAGACACGGCCCAGACUCCUACGGGAGGCAGCAGUAGGGAAUCUUCGGCAAUGGACGAAAGUCUGACCGAGCAACGCCGCGUGAGCGAUGAAGGCCUUCGGGUCGUAAAGCUCUGUUGUCAGAGAAGAACAAGUAUCGGAGUAACUGCCGGUACCUUGACGGUACCUGACCAGAAAGCCACGGCUAACUACGUGCCAGCAGCCGCGGUAAUACGUAGGUGGCAAGCGUUAUCCGGAAUUAUUGGGCGUAAAGCGCGCGCAGGCGGUUCCUUAAGUCUGAUGUGAAAGCCCACGGCUCAACCGUGGAGGGUCAUUGGAAACUG